rnacentral:rRNA from 1 species
GGGUCAGUUGGUUGGUCAUGCCACAGGUAUGUACUGAUCUUACUGAUUCCUCCUUCCUGAUGAACCGUAAUGCCAUUAAUUUGGUGUUGCGGGGAAACUGGACUGUUACUUUGAAAAAAUUAGAGUGUUUAAAGCAGGCUAACGCUUGAAUACAUUAGCAUGGAAUAAUGAAAUAGGAUGUUCGAUCCUAUUUUGUUGGUUUCUAGGAUAGACAUAAUGA